UACGUAGGGUGCGAGCGUUGUCCGGAAUUAUUGGGCGUAAAGAGCUCGUAGGCGGUGUGUCACGUCGUUCGUGAAAACCUGCAGCUUAACUGUGGGCGUGCGGUCGAUACGGGCAUCACUGGAGUUCGGCAGGGGAGACUGGAAUUCCUGGUGUAGCGGUGAAAUGCGCAGAUAUCAGGAAGAACACCCGUGGCGAAGGCGGCUCUCUGGGACGGUACUGACGCUGAGACGCGAAAGCGUGGGGAGCGAACAGG
rnacentral:rRNA from 1 species